rnacentral:ncRNA from 3 species
CCGGUUUUCGAUUUGAUUUGACU